rnacentral:tRNA from 1 species
UCCCUGGUGGUCCAGUGGCUAAGACCCCGCAUUCCCAAUGCAGGGGGGUUCAGGUUUGAUCCCUGGUUAGGGAA